GUGCUUGUUUUGGCAGCACGUAUAACUACAAUUGGAACAUACAGAGAUUAGCAUGGCCCCUGCUCAAGGAUAACAUACAAAUUCAUGAAGUGUUCCAUAUUUUU
ensembl:snRNA U6 U6 spliceosomal RNA